rnacentral:rRNA from 1 species
GACGAACGCUGGCGGCGUGCUUAACGCAUGCAAGUCGAGCGGAAAGGCCACUUCGGUGGUACUCGAGCGGCGAACGGGUGAGUAACACGUGAGUAAUCUGCCCCUGGCUUUGGGAUAGCCACCGGAAACGGUGAUUAAUACCGGAUAUGACCACUUCACGCAUGUGCUGGUGGUGGAAAGUUUUUCGGCCAGGGAUGUGCUCGCGGCCUAUCAGCUUGAUGGUGAGGUAAUGGCUCACCAUGGCUUCGACGGGUAGCCGGCCUGAGAGGGUGACCGGUCACACUGGGACUGAGACACGGCCCAGACUCCUACGGGAGGCAGCAGUGGGGAAUAUUGGACAAUGGGCGGAAGCCUGAUCCAGCAACGCCGCGUGAGGGAUGACGGCCUUCGGGUUGUAAACCUCUUUCGCCUGUGACGAAGCGCAAGUGACGGUAACAGGUAAAGAAGCACCGGCCAACUACGUGCCAGCCGCCGCAGUAAAAC